GUAAGUAUUUGAUGGGAAAGAGGUCUUAAAAAAGCUUCUGGUAUGACGUUUCUUUCCAGUGCCACCUGCACGCCUGUUGCUGUGGGAUUUGAACCUCCUCAAUCACUGACACUUGUGGAUUAUCUGUACUUAAGGCAAAGAGCCAACACAAGCCACAUCUUGUAUGCAGGCAUUCAGCAGUCUGACCCGUCUUACCGCCUCAUUUGUCAUCUCCCUUCACUGGCUGUGUGAGCGGUAGCUGACAGACGGGGUAUAAGCCUGGCCUGUCUGGUGUUGAGAGCCGGGCUUUCCACGCUGAAUAGAGAAACUAUGCACCAACGCCGGAGGAAAACAUGUAACGACACACACUGGCACACUCCCCCACUGAGAGCUGCCUUAGAGAGGACCUGAGCCCUCGGACCAUGGCUUAGAACUACCUGUCCUGAUGACUCCUUGCUGUCCCCAGUCCACCUGGUCAUGCUGCUGCUCCAGUUUCAACUGUUCUGCCUGUGGCUAUGGAACCUUGACCUGUUCACUGGACGUGCUACCUUGUCCAGGACCUGCUGUUUUGGACACUCUCUCUACCGCACAUGCUGUCUCUAACUCUGAAUGAUCGGCUAUGAAAAGCCAACUGACAUUUACUCCUGAGGUGCUGACCUGUUGCACCCUCUACACCCACUGUGAUUAUUAUUAUCUGAUCCUGCUGGUCAUCUAUGAACAUUUGAACAUCUUGGCCAUGUUCUGUUAUAAUCUCCACCCUGCACAGCCAGAAGAGGACUGGCCAGAGCCUGGACUCAGAGCCUGGUUCCCCUCUAGGUUUCUUCCUAAGUUCUGGCCUUUCUAGGGAGUUUUUCCUAGCCACCAUGCUUCAACAUCUGCAUUGCUUGCUGUUUGGGGUUUUAGGCUGGGUUUCUGUACAGCACAAAAGGGCUUUAGAAAUAAGUUGCAAUCGGGAUUCAAACUGGCAACCAUGCGGGUCGCAACCCAUGUGUAACGCCCUACCACCUGUAAGCAGAGAUGUGCAGUAUUUCAAUUACUUUUGAUUAUUUAGUAAUUUGUAUUAUACUGGUCUGAACUCCAAUAUAUUUUGUAACAAAAUACUUUUCUAUACCAUUUUGUGUCCCCCUUUCACCCUGCAUUGAUAUCAGAAGUCUGAUGGCACUAUGGUGUGAUAAGAGCG
rnacentral:lncRNA from 1 species